rnacentral:rRNA from 1 species
AGUGAACGCUGGCGGUAGGCCUAACACAUGCAAGUCGAACGGCAGCACAGUAAGAGCUUGCUCUUACGGGUGGCGAGUGGCGGACGGGUGAGGAAUACAUCGGAAUCUACUUUUUCGUGGGGGAUAACGUAGGGAAACUUACGCUAAUACCGCAUACGACCUACGGGUGAAAGCAGGGGAUCUUCGGACCUUGCGCGAUUGAAUGAGCCGAUGUCGGAUUAGCUAGUUGGCGGGGUAAAGGCCCACCAAGGCGACGAUCCGUAGCUGGUCUGAGAGGAUGAUCAGCCACACUGGAACUGAGACACGGUCCAGACUCCUACGGGAGGCAGCAGUGGGGAAUAUUGGACAAUGGGCGCAAGCCUGAUCCAGCCAUACCGCGUGGGUGAAGAAGGCCUUCGGGUUGUAAAGCCCUGUUGUUGGGAAAGAAAAGCAGCAGGUUAACACCCCGCUGUUCUGACGGUACCCAAAGAAUAAGCACCGGCUAACUUCGUG